rnacentral:lncRNA from 1 species
GGAACCUCGUUCCAGGGACAGCAGGGGUAUAAGCCACGCCCUAGUUCAAUCAGGUACUAGGCUUCCCCAUCCCAUACUAGGUAUGAGAUUAGUACUUUCAAACACUUGAUCACGAACACCACCACUGUCGGGCCUUAACAAGUUUCAUAGAUAGACGGGGCGAUCAGCCGACCACCAAAGAGUUACCCAACACCUUGCCC